rnacentral:lncRNA from 1 species
AUGGCUUUCGCUGCUCUGACCGUUCUCGCCUGCUUGGGCGCCGCCGCCGCCUACGAAUACGACUACGCCCCGGCCGCCAGCCCCUCGUACUUCGCCGACUCCUACCAACAGUACCCCCAGCAGCAGUACUACCAGCAGCAGUCCUACCAGUACCCGGCCUACCCGCAGACCUACCGCACCUACGCCCAGGCCCCGGCCAAGAUCGAAGCCGCCCCCGUCCAGGCCAAAUAUGACGUCAUCAGCCAGCCCUCAUACAAGCACGCCCACGCUCCCUGCCCGGCCCCCGUUCCGGAAAUCAAGCCCGUCGUCGUGAAGUCGCAGCUCCCGGUGCCGUUCACCUACGGAGUUCACCGUCAACCCCAGGUCCUCGAGCACCACGCCGCCCCCUCCGUCUUCCACUACUACGGACAACCUUACGUCGUCAAGCACACCCAGAGCGCCGUCCUCCACGCCUACACCCAGGUCCAUGAGGAGUACGCCAAGCCCGCCGUCAUCGUCGAAGAAGCCUGCCCCGAAGUUGAACACUACCACCAUUAAACGUCCCUCUUGUAAGUUGUUUCCUGCCUAGCGCACCCAUGUUCCUCAGUUGAUCAUAAUACAAACCUGUUGUUAAUUACCUCAAUCCACGCCUCUUCGUUUUUUACUCCUAUCCUGAUUAGCGGUAGGGUGAGCUCAAAAAGACGGAUGUAACCAGUGGCGACUCUUGAAAGUUCUCAAUACUGUUUUUUCUCCAUUUAAAUGCGUGUAAAACAAUCGAUUUUUGAUGAGGCUUGCUUCAUCUAAAGUCGAUAUUUUCAACGGAUUUAAAUAGAGUAAAAAAGUGUUGUCGACUUGCAAAGUCGCAACUGGAUGCAACCAGAAUCAGCCGAACUGCAUUUUACGUGCAUUUCUAUCAUAGUUCGGAUUUUUAUCACAGAUCUAAACAGCGUACCUUUAUUAAACCCUCAAUUAAUUUUCUCUUGAUUUCAAAAAAAUACUUUCACAAAAAUGAAAUCCAGAAUGUUGCUUGGUUUCUAUUUAAAAAAAAAAAUAAUAUAAGUUGAGAAGAAAUCAGGUGCCCAAAUGGAUGAAUUUAAGCAAAAUCACCCUAACCACAUCAGGUGUCGCCAGUUUUAUUUUCUUGAACAGAGAACUAAUUGACAUUCCUACUUGAAAUUGUUGUGAAUGUAUGUAUUAUUCACAGUCCAGAUGAACAUUAUAGGAAAAAGUUUCUAGGCUAAAUGUCAUGCAAUUACCCAUCAAAGAAUUAAAGCAUGAGUGAUAAUCAGGCACUUUGAAA